GAUGAACGCUGGCGGCGUGCCUAAUACAUGCAAGUCGAGCGAACGGACGAGAAGCUUGCUUCUCUGAUGUUAGCGGCGGACGGGUGAGUAACACGUGGAUAACCUACCUAUAAGACUAGGAUAACUUCGGGAAACCGGAGCUAAUACCGGAUGAUAUUUUGAACCGCAUGGUUCAAAAGUGAAAGACGGUCUUGCUGUCACUUAUAGAUGGGUCCGCGCUGCAUUAGCUAGUUGGUAAGGUAACGGCUUACCAAGGCAACGAUGCAUAGCCGACCUGAGAGGGUGAUUGGCCACACUGGAACUGAGACACGGUCCAGACUCCUACGGGAGGCAGCAGUAGGGAAUCUUCCGCAAUGGGCGAAAGCCUGACGGAGCAACGCCGCGUGAGUGAUGAAGGUCUUCGGAUCGUAAAACUCUGUUAUUAGGGAAGAACAUAUGUGUAAGUAACUGUGCACAUCUUGACGGUACCUAAUCAGAAAGCCACGGCUAACUACGUG
rnacentral:rRNA from 1 species